AACGAACGCUGGCGGCAGGCCUAACACAUGCAAGUCGAGCGCCCUUUCGGGGGAGCGGCGGACGGGUGAGUAACGCGUGGGAAUAUGCCCUUCUCUACGGAAUAGCCUCGGGAAACUGAGAGUAAUACCGUAUACGCCCUGGGGGGGAAAGAUUUAUCGGGGAAGGAUUAGCCCGCGUUGGAUUAGGUAGUUGGUGGGGUAAUGGCCUACCAAGCCGACGAUCCAUAGCUGGUUUGAGAGGAUGAUCAGCCACACUGGGACUGAGACACGGCCCAGACUCCUACGGGAGGCAGCAGUGGGGAAUCUUAGACAAUGGGGGCAACCCUGAUCUAGCCAUGCCGCGUGAGUGAUGAAGGCCUUAGGGUUGUAAAGCUCUUUCAGCUGGGAAGAUAAUGACGGUACCAGCAGAAGAAGCCCCGGCUAACUCCGUG
rnacentral:rRNA from 1 species